rnacentral:rRNA from 1 species
UACGGGGGGAGCAAGCGUUGUUCGGAUUUACUGGGCGUAAAGGGCGCGUAGGCGGCCACUGCAAGUCGGUUGUGAAAUCUCCGGGCUUAACCCGGAAAGGUCAACCGAUACUGCAGGGCUAGAGUGCGGAAGGGGCAACUGGAAUUCUUGGUGUAGCGGUGAAAUGCGUAGAUAUCAAGAGGAACACCUGCGGCGAAGGCGGGUUGCUGGGCUGACACUGACGCUGAGGCGCGAAAGCUAGGGGAGCGAACGGG